GACCAAUGUCCUAACGCGUUUCGUCUCCGACUCCUGCAUAUCUCUCUCCCUCCUCUCUCCCAGUUUGCUCAUAGAAAAUGGACGCCAUUGACUCAGUGGUGGAUCCGCUCAGAGAGUUCUCCAAGGACAGCAUUCGCCUUGUCAAGCGCUGCCACAAGCCCGAUCGCAAAGAAUUCUCCAAGGUCGCGCUCCGGACAGCGAUUGGGUUCGUGGUGAUGGGAUUCGUUGGCUUCUUCGUGAAGCUGAUCUUCAUCCCCAUCAACAACAUCAUCGUCGGAUCUGUUUAGAUCAUGCUGAAGAUCAAGUUAGACAGAUGAUAGAUGCAGCGGACCUUAAUAAAGCAUUAGCUUUUAGUUCUCAUGUGUUCCUUGUUUCUGUAAAACCAUGAUACAUGUAUUUUCUUGUUUUUGAUAUUUGGGACCUUGUGAACUUGUCUCUUUGUCGUUUAAUCAAAAAUUGUGUUGUUCUGGAUUCGCUUACUUGAUCAUUGUACAUUUUAACCAAUAAAAUGUCGGAGGGAUGAUCGUGUGUAAAACGAUAAAGAAGUAUUGAAUGUGAUGGUCUCGAGCAAUGGAUUCAGUAGCAUGUUUAUGGUAGUGGGAUCCACAUUGAAUUACAACACUUCUUCUUGGAUGACCACAAGUCUUUGAUUGACUUGUUAAAAUAUUGAUCUGUUUUGGAUGCUCCCCUUGAUAAGUAUCUUCUCCUGAUUUCAAAUUCUUUAGGCUGAUGCGUAUCGACGCCAUACUUGAACUUCUGUGGGCUCGUCAUUGAUCUUUCUGCUUUAGUCUCUUGCAUAACAAAAGUGGUGCGCAACAUUUUCCCUUUAAUAAUCCUUCAAAACAUCGUUUCUUAGCGACUUAUCCAUGCUUGGCAGCUUCAGUGUAAAGAACCAACAUUAUAUCAACUGUUAUGAGGUAUUUACUAAGGAAAUUUGAGACCUACCAACAGUUGAAGAUGACUACUCGAGAGCAAUGCAAGGUCUGCCUUGCCAUGGAGGACAGAGAUCGACAUAUAUAGGGAUUUCCCAAUAGCAAGUAGUGGUGCUUUUCCUUUACGCUUGUCAACACCAGUAGUGUAAUUAGAACUGUAAAAUUCACGCGUUUCAACUUUGUCAGAGAUCUUUGACAAAGUUGCCCGUGAUAUUCGAAAAGUUGAGAUUGCGUCUGAAAAGUGGCAACGAACUUUAUUCAAGAAAAUCUGGCUUUUGAAAUUUA